rnacentral:rRNA from 1 species
UACGUAGGGUGCAAGCGUUGUCCGGAAUCACUGGGCGUAAAGCGCACGUAGGCGGAUCGUUAAGUCAGGGGUGAAAUCCUGGAGCUCAACUCCAGAACUGCCUUUGAUACUGGCGACCUUGAGUUCGGGAGAGGUGAGUGGAACUGCGAGUGUAGAGGUGAAAUUCGUAGAUAUUCGCAAGAACACCAGUGGCGAAGGCGGCUCACUGGCCCGAUACUGACGCUGAGGUGCGAAAGCGUGGGGAGCAAACAGG